rnacentral:snoRNA from 1 species
AGCCUCCUGGUGCUUAUCACAGGCUGUGUUCUUAUACUAACUGUAUAGAAAGAGGAGGCAAAGUAAACCUACCCCAUAUACACCUCAGCCCAGAUCCUGUGCCUGGUCUGUACUGUGAAUGGGGAGACAUGG